CAAAAAAUCAACAAAUACGUUCACCAUCAACGAUUACAACUACGAUGAUGAUCGGCAAAAGGUUUACACCGAUCAAGAGCUGGAAAAAAUAUGUACAUAUGUACGACUCGUAUGAAGAUAAUAAAAGUAAUAUAGCUAAAUGCUCGUUGCGACGGUGGGAUAAUACUGAACGUUGAUAAUUUUUAUUAUAAAGACAACAGAAGUUAAUGACAUAAAUACCGAAUCGCGAAGUUCGCUAUAUUAUGAAAAAAGCUAGAACUAGAACUUCUGUCUACUAUGUAUCAUCGAAUCUCUCGACUCGUUACACUUGGUUAUGGUAUCGAAUUCUUCUAUUUAUAUAAAAAGAGUCAUCCUUGCGUUUCUUAUUAAGAGUCUCUCAGGCUAUGAAUAUAGUAAAGCGGUGAGAAGCAAAGAUAGCGGCGAGGUGAGCAGCACUGUAAAAUCAAACCAAUGUUUUCUAAUGAGAGUGUUUAUUAAUGAAGCGGCGAAGAAAGUUGCGAGAAAGGCAACUAUAGUAGAAGUACAGCUAGAAUCAAAAACAUUUGAUUCUGUUAGUGGAAAUAAACGAGAUCGAAGGUAUUCAGCUGGCCUCAGCAAUCAUCUAAUGGAUACUUUUCAAUAUCCUGUAGAACAUGAAUCAGACUCAAAUAUAAUGACCAUUAUUUUUUAUGCUUACCAUUAGUCAGUACCUCAUCCAAGUUAUGUAUUAACAUAUUCAAUAUUAAAAUCUUAAUAUACAAAGUAAAAUUAGCUGUUAAACUAUAGGCUUUUUUUAUAAAAUAGUGAGUAAUUAUUUUUUAAUUUAAAUUUACUUAUUGGUAAUAAUUAAGUGUUCUUCAAUACUAACAGAGUUCUGAACAAAAUUGGUUUAUUGAAGUAUAAUUUUUAAACAUACCACUUCCAAAAUCCAAUCGAUUAGAUAUUGCGACUAGAUAAUUAAAUAUUUUAAAAUAUUGCUUAAAUUUGUCAGGAUAUUGUCUUAAUUUUAAAUAUAAGUGGCUGUCUUUUUAUUCAUAAGAUAGACUAUUUUCUGACUCUGUUUCUUAAAUGAUCUGAAGCAAGGACAUAAUAUUUAAUUACAAUAUUUUCUGCAAGCAUGAGUUUGUGAAGUUUCGACAUCUUAAGAAACAUUUAAAAAAAUAG